rnacentral:rRNA from 1 species
GAUGAACGCUGGCGGCGUGCCUAAUACAUGCAAGUCGAGCGAACGGACGAGAAGCUUGCUUCUCUGAUGUUAGCGGCGGACGGGUGAGUAACACGUGGAUAACCUACCUAUAAGACUGGGGUAACUUCGGGAAACCGGAGCUAAUACCGGAUGAUAUUUUGAACCGCAUGGUUCAAAAGUGAAAGACGGUCUUGCUGUCACUUAUAGAUGGAUCCGCGCUGCAUUAGCUAGUUGGUAAGGUAACGGCUUACCAAGGCAACGAUGCAUAGCCGACCUGAGAGGGUGAUCGGCCACACUGGAACUGAGACACGGUCCAGACUCCUAAGGGAGGCAGCAGUAGGGAAUCUUCCGCAAUGGGCGAAAGCCUGACGGAGCAACGCCGCGUGAGUGAUGAAGGUCUUCGGAUCGUAAAACUCUGUUAUUAGGGAAGAACAUAUGUGUAAGUAACUGUGCACAUCUUGACGGUACCUAAUCAGAAAGCCACGGCUAACUACGUG